CUUGCCUCCAGGAGCUUGGGGUCUUCACAUCCCUGCCGCAGCGAGCCAUCUCCGUCUCACAGGACGGACAUGGACAUAGCCUUAGAGGGCAGACUUGAAGGUGCUUGUUCUGACCCCUGAGGGUGUCGCAUCCGAGGCUCUGAGGUCAGCAGAGGCAUUGCCCACUGCAAUCCCAGAGCUUCACGUGGAGGGGCAGAACAUUUUGUUCCAGCUCUACUGUAGAGUGAAAUAUCGAAUCACAUUGAGGGCCGGAGAUUUAGCUCAGUGGUUCUGUCACCUGCCUCGCAAGCACAAGGUCCUGAGUUUGAUCCCUGGUACCAAAAAAAAAAAACCCCAAAUCAAAUCACAUUGAUAGUAAAACAGGACACCUGGAGAGAUGUUUAUGCUGACAGUAGGUGCCCUCAUCCCCCAAGAGACUGUGCAUCUGGAGAUAGGGUGGGCUUGAGGGCCUUUCGGGAUCCUGCCAGUAGGGUUGAGGGAGCUGAGGACCUGCAUGCCGCUGCUGCUGAGUCUGGCAGUGCCCCACAUUCUGAGUGCAGAAGGGACCCCCGAGAGGUGGGCAUUCUAUUGCAGGCUAUAAACCUGAAAUCAACUGACAGCGGACUUCUAGAGAUUUUGAUUCAGCCUAACUGAAACAUCUGCAUUUCCAUGAACUGCUUUGUCCCCUCCCUGCCAGAGUUAUCCUGGGGAGAAUUGGUCUGGAUUAGCCCUCAGGCCUCUCUCCUGCCAAGACUGCCCAUGGGCAGACCCGGCCAGGUGGUUCCUCGGGCCUUUACUUGGUCCUAAGGUCAGUGGAGGAUUUGGCCAUGAAUAAGUUUGUAAACCACUCCGGGCAUGGUGGAACAUGCCUGGAAUUCUAGCUAUUUGGGUGGCUGAGGCAGAAAGAUCACAAGUUCAAGGCCAGUCCGGAUAACUUGGCAAGACUCUUCCUGAAAAAAGAAAAAGGACUGAGGAUAUAGCUCAGUCCUCCAUGCUUCCAGUUCCCUGAAAAGGGGGCGGGGGCCUUACAACCCAACCAUCUUCGUUAAGAAGUUACCCAAAACGAAAAGCCAAUUUUUUUGUACUGGGGAAGAAACUCAGGACCUUCGAGGCAGGCACAGUGCCACUGAGCUAAUCCUCAGCCCAAGACAAAACUUUUUGGACAUGGGGAACCUGAGUCCCACCCUGAGUGUGGUGCUUCUCAGUCUCCCCCACCCCGAAUUCCCCCUGAAGUAGCCUGAACCUCAGACAAGAACAAAUGGGAACCUGGGGUUGGGAAGGGUCUAGAAGGGCUGUAUAGACCAUAAUACAUUUUCUAAAUCCUGCCUGAUUCUCAAGGUGAA
rnacentral:lncRNA from 1 species